rnacentral:rRNA from 1 species
UACGGGGGGUGCGAGCGUUGUCCGGAUUCAUUGGGCGUAAAGCGCACGCAGGCGGCUUGGUAAGUCAUCGGUGAAAUCCCCCGGCUCAACCGGGGGGGGUCCGGCGAAACUGCCAGGCUUGAGGUCGGGAGGGGGAAGCGGAAUUCCGGGUGUAGUGGUGGAAUGCGUAGAUAUCCGGAGGAACACCAGUGGCGAAGGCGGCUUCCUGGCCCGAAUCUGACGCUGAGGUGCGAAAGCGUGGGGAGCGAUCCGG